AAUCCUGUGAGAGUCAUUUGGUGGAGACGCACACGUGGCAGCCAACAAGCUGAGCACACUGGAAACUAGAAACUCCUAGCCUAGAUAUGGUGGGGCUCUGGGGGCGCCGUGGUAAUGCUCACUUAGAAAUCAAAAAUCAAACCCACAUCAGAUCACAUGGCCCUCUGCACAUAAUUGCCACUACCCUCCACCGACUUCCACAUGUCAUGUAUAAAUUCGUAGUAUAGGAGACAAGUAAGAGAAGAUUAAGAAACAAAGAAACAGUUGUUCAAAGGGAAAUUUCUAGAGUCAAGCAAGAGUCUUUUGUGUUCAAGUUGGGUGUUAUAAUUGUCGGGUUCUUUGAGAAAUUAAGCGGGUGAGGAGAUACAGAAGCUAGAGAGAGAAAAAUGAUACUGGUGGCGGGUGUGGCUGAGCUGAUGGAGAAGUAUACGUUUUUGUUGGCAAGGGUUUUGGAGCAUUUGUUCCAUUCUGCUCCUUUUCCCAGGCGGGUUCGGUUUCUCAUCCUCCGAAGUCUUCCCUUUGUUUCUUCCUACCCUCUUCCUCCUCCUCCUCCUCUGAUAGGAGCCCCUGCUGCUGCUUAAUGUUUCAAGGAUAGGGCUUUUUGUAUUUAGCAUGUAAGGGUUCAUUGGUUAAAUUUUUUUUCUCUUUUUUUUUUAGAAUUCUGAUGCGGUGAAUGUUCUGUACAAAUUUGGAAUUUUUCUUAUCCUCCCUUAACAAAGUUGGUUGGUUUUGAUUAAUUUGAUGGAUGUUAUGGCCAGCCUUUGACCUAUAUUCUUUAAAGUUCAUAACUUUUUAUGAAUCUAUGGAUCAAUUUGAUGAGAUUGGAUGAAUUUUUUAGAUGAAAGGUAGGGUUUUAGAUGAAUUUUUUAGAUGAAAGGUAGGGUUUUUUAUGUCUUCAAUCUAUUUUGGGAAAUUGCAGCUAACCCAGUUUAAUCCACG
rnacentral:lncRNA from 1 species